UACGUAGGGGGCGAGCGUUGUCCGGAUUUAUUGGGCGUAAAGGGCGCGUAGGCGGUUCGUUAAGUCCUGUGUGAAAUCCCCCGGCUCAACUGGGGAACUGCACAGGAAACUAGCGGGCUUGAGUUCGGGAGAGGGAAGCGGAAUUCCGGGUGUAGCGGUGAAAUGCGUAGAUAUCCGGAGGAACACCGGUGGCGAAGGCGGCUUCCUGGACCGACACUGACGCUGAGGCGCGAAAGCUAGGGGAGCAAACGGG
rnacentral:rRNA from 1 species